rnacentral:lncRNA from 1 species
UGGACGUAAAACUGGUUGGGCAAACUAUAGAAUACUAAGCAAGGUUAAAAAAAUUAAAGAAGCAAAAUAGUGGCAUAGCGUGAAGCAAUGGAGAAAGUCACUUGAGGCUAAAUAAUUACAGCUGUAUCUAUAUAUCUAUGUCUGUAUCUCCACAUAUAUCCAUUAUUCAGGAAGUUUACUUUUAAAUAGGAUACUGAACUGGCCUUCCCCCAC